rnacentral:rRNA from 1 species
AUUGAACGCUGGCGGCAUGCCUUACACAUGCAAGUCGAACGGCAGCACGGAGCUUGCUCUGGUGGCGAGUGGCGAACGGGUGAGUAAUAUAUCGGAACGUACCCUAGAGUGGGGGAUAACGUAGCGAAAGUUACGCUAAUACCGCAUACGAUCUAAGGAUGAAAGUGGGGGAUCGCAAGACCUCAUGCUCGUGGAGCGGCCGAUAUCUGAUUAGCUAGUUGGUAGGGUAAAAGCCUACCAAGGCAUCGAUCAGUAGCUGGUCUGAGAGGACGACCAGCCACACUGGAACUGAGACACGGUCCAGACUCCUACGGGAGGCAGCAGUGGGGAAUUUUGGACAAUGGGCGAAAGCCUGAUCCAGCAAUGCCGCGUGAGUGAAGAAGGCCUUCGGGUUGUAAAGCUCUUUUGUCAGGGAAGAAACGGUGAAAGCUAAUAUCUUUUGCUAAUGACGGUACCUGAAGAAUAAGCACCGGCUAACUACGUGCCAGCAGCCGCGGUAAUACGUAGGGUGCAAGCGUUAUUGGGAUUUACUGGGCGUAAAGCGUGUGCAGCGGGUUUUGUAAGUCUGAUGUGAAAUCCCCGGGCUCAACCUGGGAAUUGCAUUGGAGACUGCAAGGCUAGAAUCUGGCAGAGGGGGGUAGAAUUCCACGUGUAGCAGUGAAAUGCGUAGAUAUGUGGAGGAACACCGAUGGCGAAGGCAGCCCCCUGGGUCAAGAUUGACGCUCAUGCACGAAAGCGUGGGGAGCAAACAGGAUUAGAUACCCUGGUAGUCCACGCCCUAAACGAUGUCUACUAGUUGUCGGGUCUUAAUUGACUUGGUAACGCAGCUAACGCGUGAAGUAGACCGCCUGGGGAGUACGGUCGCAAGAUUAAAACUCAAAGGAAUUGACGGGGACCCGCACAAGCGGUGGAUGAUGUGGAUUAAUUCGAUGCAACGCGAAAAACCUUACCUACCCUUGACAUGGCUGGAAUCCUUGAGAGAUCAGGGAGUGCUCGAAAGAGAACCAGUACACAGGUGCUGCAUGGCUGUCGUCAGCUCGUGUCGUGAGAUGUUGGGUUAAGUCCCGCAACGAGCGCAACCCUUGUCAUUAGUUGCUACGAAAGGGCACUCUAAUGAGACUGCCGGUGACAAACCGGAGGAAGGUGGGGAUGACGUCAAGUCCUCAUGGCCCUUAUGGGUAGGGCUUCACACGUCAUACAAUGGUACAUACAGAGCGCCGCCAACCCGCGAGGGGGAGCUAAUCGCAGAAAGUGUAUCGUAGUCCGGAUUGUAGUCUGCAACUCGACUGCAUGAAGUUGGAAUCGCUAGUAAUCGCGGAUCAGCAUGUCGCGGUGAAUACGUUCCCGGGUCU